rnacentral:rRNA from 1 species
AACGAACGCUGGCGGCAGGCCUCAUACAUGCAAGUCGAGCGAUUAAGACUCCUUCGGGAGUGUAUAAAGCGGCGAACGGGUGAGUAACAGGUGGAUGAUCUACCUUCCGGUGGGGGAUAACGGCUGGAAACGGCCGCUAAUACCGCAUUCGGUUAAUACGCUGUGGCGUAUUAAAGAAAGGCGGCCUCAAAGCGCCGCCGGGAGAUGAGUCCGCCCCCAUUAGCUAGUUGGUGAGAUAACAGCUCACCAAGGCAACGAUGGGUAGCCGAACUGAGAGGUUGAUCGGCCACACUGGAACUGAGACACGGUCCAGACACCUACGGGUGGCAGCAGGUAGGGAAUAUUGGGCAAUGGGCGAAAGCCUGACCCAGCCAUGCCGCGUGAGUGAUGAAGGUCCUAGAGAUUGUAAAACUCUUUUCUGUAGGAAAGAAUGAAUAGGGAAGGAAAUAGUCCUUAUUUUGACGGUACCUCAGGAAUAAGGAACGGCGUAACUCCGUGCCAGCAGCCGCGGUAAACUCG